UGAGGAAUAUUGCACAAUGGGGGAAACCCUGAUGCAGCAACGCCGCGUGGAGGAUGACGCAUUUCGGUGUGUAAACUCCUUUUAUAUGUCAAGAAAAUGACGGUAGCAUAUGAAUAAGCACCGGCUAACUCCGUGCCAGCAGCCGCGGUAAUACGGAGGGUGCAAGCGUUACUCGGAAUCACUGGGCGUAAAGGACGCGUAGGCUGGCUGACAAGUCAGAUGUGAAAUCCUAUGGCUUAACCAUAGAACUGCAUUUGAAACUGUCAGUCUAGAGUAUGGGAGGGGGAGAUGGAAUUAGUGGUGUAGGGGUAAAAUCCGUAGAUAUCACUAGGAAUACCUAAAGCGAAGGCGAUCUCCUGGAACAUUACUGACGCUAAGGCGUGAAAGCGUGGGGAGCAAACAGG
rnacentral:rRNA from 1 species